rnacentral:lncRNA from 1 species
AAAUACUUGGAGUAUGAGGCUGCUGCUACAACAUACUUUGCAUGUUCAGUGUCAGUCAUGAGUACAAAAAGGGCCGUGUGAUUCCUCUCUUUGCACAACCUGUAUUUCCUUAGGAAAUACUGACUUUAAGACAUGUCCUGUCAUCAGUGGCCAGUCUGGACCACCCUAACCUGUGUGCUUACAUCACUUCUUUCAGUCUCUGAGAUAUAUUGAAAUAUAACUUGAAAUCUAAUGGCUUAACUGUGCUCAGAAAAUAUGAUGCAGAGAUUCUCCUAGGACUACAAUACAUCAAAGGAACAUUUUACUAGAGUGUCCUUCAGAUAGAAUAUCACCAGAAGUUCCUUAAUUGAAGUGUGUUCUGCAGACAAAAGCUAAAAAUGUGGGACACUAAAGGAAAAAGCAAAAUCUAUGGGAAGUGAUCCAUAUUGGACAAUUGGUUUUGGUUUUCUUACUGUACACAUGAUUUUCCUUUUAUUUUUUUUUUUAAUUUGCUGGGAAAUUAUGAGUCUCUUUUCUUGUGAUUUUGGUUUGGUUUUUUUCCCCUGAUGAUCUGUAAUUUCCAUUGCUGGCUGUAUUUCAAUAUUAAAAAUAAGACAUAUAAGACACUGCUGAGUCUGGGUCAUUAAGCUAAAGAAGAAAUGAAAGAGUCUGAUUCUUCAUCUGUUGAAGUCCCAUGGGUAUAUUUUCCAGAAUGUGGACUUCUACGUGGCGAAGGUGAAGGCCUGAUGUUUGAGGCAUCCCUGCCUAACCCAGUGCUGCUCUGCAUGGAAGGGACCUUACAGGGCAGGGGCAAGUGGCAAGUUCUGAAGCUGACAGCAUCCCAAUCUGUGCCUCUGAAACAGCAUCUGGGUGCUCCCCUGGUGCAGGGUCAGCCAUCCGCCCCUCCUGCUCCAGGGGCAGGGCAUGCAGGGGUACCAAGGCUUGGGCAGGGGCUGUGGGAUGCACCUGGG